rfam:Myotis brandtii contig167595, whole genome shotgun sequence.
AGAGGCCCUCCGUGGCUGGGUUGGAACGCUUGCCUCGUUGCCAUGGCGAUGAAGCAAGCAUUCUGCCAGGCCGCUCACACUGCCCAC